UCCCAUGUGCUCAAGUCAAGAAGCGGCGCAAACACUCCUACGCGCUGUCUCUGUUACAGUCAUGGAAGAGGAACGCGACUCGCUUGUCCUGCCAUCGGGCCCCGUUAUGGGGUCCAGUGGGUCACGGGGUAGUGGGUUCGUAUCGUCUCAGUAGAGUUGAGUGCAGCCCAUGUCUCUUCUGGCAUCUCAUCCGUGGCUAUGCUCGUAGUUUUGAGGCAUACAUCU
rnacentral:snoRNA from 1 species